rnacentral:rRNA from 1 species
AUUGAACGCUGGCGGCAUGCCUUACACAUGCAAGUCGAACGACGCCAGGGGGCAACUCCUGGCGAGUGGCGAACGGGUGAGUAAUACAUCGGAACGUGUCCUGUCGUGGGGGAUAACCAGUCGAAAGACUGGCUAAUACCGCAUGAGAUCGAGAGAUGAAAGCGGGGGACCCGCAAGGGCCUCGCGCGACUCGAGCGGCCGAUGUCGGAUUAGCCAGUUGGCGGGGUAAAGGCCCACCAAGGCGACGAUCCGUAGCUGGUUUGAGAGAACGACAAGCCACACUGGGACUGAGACACGGCCCAGACUCCUACGGGAGGCAGCAGUGGGGAAUUUUGGACAAUGGGGGCAACCCUGAUCCAGCCAUGCCGCGUGUGUGAAGAAGGCCUUCGGGUUGUAAAGCACUUUCGGACGGAACGAAAUCGCGCGGGUGAACAAUCCGCGUGGAUGACGGUACCGCAAGAAGAAGCACCGGCUAACUACGUGCCAGCCGCCGCGGUAACAC